AACGAACGCUGGCGGUAGGCCUAACACAUGCAAGUCGAACGGCAGCACAGGAGAGCUUGCUCUCUGGGUGGCGAGUGGCGGACGGGUGAGGAAUACAUCGGAAUCUACUUUUUCGUGGGGGAUAACGUAGGGAAACUUACGCUAAUACCGCAUACGACCUACGGGUGAAAGCAGGGGACCUUCGGGCCUUGCGCGAUUGAAUGAGCCGAUGUCGGAUUAGCUAGUUGGCGGGGUAAAGGCCCACCAAGGCGACGAUCCGUAGCUGGUCUGAGAGGAUGAGCAGCCACACUGGAACUGAGACACGGUCAAGACGCCUACGGGAGGCAGCAGUGGGGAAUAUUGGACAAUGGGCGCAAGCCUGAUCCAGCCAUACCGCGUGGGUGAAGAAGGCCUUCGGGUUGUAAAGCCCUUUUGUUGGGAAAGAAAUCCAGCUGGCUAAUACCCGGUUGGGAUGACGGUACCCAAAGAAUAAGCACCGGCUAACUUCGUGCCAGCCGCCGCGGUAACAC
rnacentral:rRNA from 1 species